rnacentral:rRNA from 1 species
AUGAGGGGUUCGAGAAUGAAUCCAGACCGUAGGACACGGAGUAUCAUGUCAGUAGUAAUUGUGAUGGGUUUGUGCUGCUUCUUCUAUAUACUAGGCGCUUGGCAGAAAAGUGGGACAGGGAGGGGUGACAGUAUAGCAUUGAGGGUGACAAAGGAAACCGACUGUACAAUCUUGCCAAAUUUGCACUUCGAGACCCAUCAUAGCAUGGGUGGUGUUAAUCCGUUGAUCAUGAACAAUAAAGUGUUUAAGCCAUGCCAUAUUAGAUACAGGGACUAUACUCCUUGCCAAGACCAGAACCGAGCAAUGACCUUUCCUAGAGAAAAUAUGACCUAUCGAGAGAGGCAUUGUCCUGCAGAAAAUGAGAAGCUGCACUGUCUUAUCCCAGCACCAAAAGGCUAUGUCACCCCUUUUGCUUGGCCCAAGAGCCGUGAGUAUGUUCCGUAUGCAAAUGCUCCAUACAAGAGUCUGACAGUUGAAAAAGCAAUUCAGAACUGGAUCCAGCACCAGGGAGAUGUGUUCCAUUUCCCAGGAGGCGGGACAAUGUUUCCAAAUGGAGCAAGCUCUUACAUUGAUGAACUUGCAUCAGUCAUUCCACUUGCUGAUGGCACCAUUAGGACUGCACUUGACACUGGAUGCGGGGUUGCAAGCUGGGGUGCUUACCUAAUGGAUAGAAAUAUAUUGACCAUGUCAUUUGCACCUCGAGACUCACACGAAGCUCAGGUUCAAUUUGCUUUGGAGCGAGGUGUUCCUGCUGUAAUUGGAGUGCUUGGGACUAUGAAGCUCCCAUACCCAUCUAGAUCUUUUGAUAUGGCCCACUGCUCACGCUGCUUAAUCCCCUGGAAAUCAAAUGAUGGAAUGUACAUGAUGGAAGUGGAUCGGGUUCUUAGGCCUGGGGGUUAUUGGAUAUUAUCUGGUCCUCCCAUCAAUUGGAAGAAAUAUUACAAAACAUGGCAAAGAUCCAAACAAGAUUCAGAGGAAGAACAAAAUAGAAUUGAGAACAUUGCUGAAAUGCUUUGCUGGAAUAAAAUAUAUGAGAAGGAAGAUACUGUUAUUUGGCAGAAAAAGGCAAAUUCAAAUGCAUGCCAUAACAAGAAUGGUCGUGCCAGCAAGAUGUGCAACGUUCAAGAUGCAGAUGACAUCUGGUAUAAGAAAAUGGAAACCUGUAUAACACCUAUCCCAGAGGGAGCACAGCAGCUACAGAAGUUUCCACAGAGACUAUUUGCAGUCCCUCCCAGAAUUCUAGAAGGUACCCCAGGUGUUACAGAAGAAGUCUAUGAAGAGGAUAAGAAGUUGUGGAAGAAGCAUGUUGAUACAUACAAGAGGGUAAACAAGUUGAUAGGGAAGUCAAGGUAUAGGAAUAUCAUGGACAUGAAUGCAGGCCUUGGAAGUUUUGCUGCAGUGCUGGAUUCUCCCGGCUCCUGGGUCAUGAACGUUGUGCCUACAAUAUCAGAGAGGAACACUCUUGGCAUCAUCUAUGAGCGGGGUCUUAUUGGCAUAUACCAUGAUUGGUGCGAAGCCUUCUCUACGUACCCUAGGACAUAUGACCUGAUACAUGCCAGCGGCGUCUUCAGUUUGUAUGAGAACAAGUGUGACCUGGAAGACAUUCUUCUUGAGAUGGAUAGGAUCUUGCGUCCAGAGGGCACUGUCAUACUGCGGGACAAUGUCGAGGUGCUGAACAAGGUCAGGAUGACGGUGACGGGAAUGCGAUGGAAGUCCAAGCUACUUGAUCACGAAGAUGGCCCUCUCGUGCCUGAAAAACUUCUGAUUGCUGUAAAAACGUACUGGGUUGGCAGCAAAGAAGGAAGCGGUUCAUAG